AAAAGCUUCAGCUAAUAUGGAGUCAUGAAGAAAACCAACAGGACAAAGGUUCUCAGUGAUACAGCAACUGUUCAACUGGUGGAGGAAGUCAACGCUGAGGAAAGCCUACGGGCUGGCUGGAAGAUGGCCCAAGGCUAUGAGCCAUCCUAGGGGCCCAGAGGAGAAGGAAUGGGAGUGCUACUGGCUCAAGACUUGAGUUCCUCUAGAGUGAGGGCUCUCGGUCGUAACUCAACUGUGUGUUCAGGGCUGCUUGUAGCUGGCUCCAGGUCCCACCCAGCACCCAGACACUCCAAAGGCUGAGAAACUCUCAGGCUUGCCUUCCUCUAACCUACGUGUGGCAAACCAGCUUGGAAACUCAGAGUGAGG
rnacentral:lncRNA from 10 species